UCCAAACUGUAUCAUUGUCAUUGAAUAUGUCAAAGACAGAGAAUUUAUAAGCCGUGGGUACAAUCAAGAAUCUGUUUUCAGUUUGUAGUCUUUUUGUCUUUAAGACUUUCUCAAACCGUUGGGUCUUAGAAUCCAUUCUCUUCUAACAUCUGAAAACAGAUUAUUUUGAGUCAAGCCGUGGUAAGUAAAGUUGUUUUGUCUUUAAGACUUUCUCAAACCGUUGGGUCUUUGAAUCCAUUCUCUUCUAACAUCUGAAAACAGAUUAUUCUGAGUCAAGCCGUGGGUAAGUAAAGUGUUUUUGUCUUUAAGACAAUAGAGUCGUAUGGUGUUAUUUGCCAACCAUAAUGAUAUGUUCUACGCCACUGGUCGUUAAUAUUCAUCCAGCCUUAAAACUGCCCCCAUUGUCAUUGUAUUUCCUAUAAUGUUUCCAUCCAAAAAGUCUUUUCACCGAUCAACUGUCAACUUUUAUAAGCCGUGGGUAAUAUAGUCAAGAAUCUGUUUUCAGUUCUUAAAGUAUUUGUCUUGAGACUUUCUCAAACCGUUGGUCGUUAAAAUCCAUCCAAUUCAAAGAACUGAAAACAGAUUUGAACCAAGCCUUGGGUAGUGAAGACUUUUGUCUUGAAGACUAUAGAGCCGAUCCAUUGUCUCUUUUUAUAAGCCGUGGGUAAGUCAAGAAUCUGUUUUCAGUUCUUAAGUCUUUGUCUUAAGACUUUCUCAAACCGUCACAUUCAAAGAACUGAAAACAUAUUUGAACCAAGCCGUGGGUAAGUAAAGUCUUUUGCCUUAAAGACUUUAUAGAGCCGAGUGGAUCUUAUUUUCCAUCCCCUAACAUCCUUCAAGAAUCUGUUUUCAGUUCUUAAGUCUUUGUCUUAAGACUUUCUCCAACCGUCACAUUCAAAGAACUAAAAACAGAUUAUUCUGAGUCAAGCCAUGGGUAAGUAAAGUCUUUUGCGUUAAAGACUAUUAAAGAGCCGAGUGGAUCUUAUUUGCCAUCCCCUAACAUCCUUCAAGAAUCUGUUUUCAGUUCUUAAGUUUUUGUCUUAAGACUUUAUCAAACCGUCACAUACAAAGAACUGAAAACAUAUUUGAACCAAGCCGUGGGUAAGUAAAGUCUUUUUUUCUCAAAGACUAUAGAGCCGAGUGAAUCUUAUUUGCCAUCCCCUAAUACAAUGCACUACCAAACCCAUAUUAUCCCAGUUAACAAUCUUGGCUAGGGGAUGGUCUUCUUAUAGUGGCAGCAACGGGACAAUGUCCCCAAAUAAGAAUCUGGCAGAACACUAUUAGAUCAGUGUCUGCCUAUGAUCUUUUUUAGGUUUCAAGUGAAACAAAAAACAAAAAAAAAAUCAAAACAAAACCAAAAAAAAAACAAAGCUUGAUCAAAAUCCCCAAAACAUGAAAGAAAGAAAGAAUCUCAAAACGAAAACCAAAAUAAAGCUUCAAGACAAAACGGGAAACUCUUGCACAGACGGAGAAUACAACUUAAACUCUAGCCAACGAAAACAACUUAAAAGUAAAUCGCAAAAGUAUUUGCACGAAACUUAGAAACCCUAAAAUAGACUAAGACGACUAACGAGAAAAAGAAACUCUGAGCAAGAUCAAUAUGUCAAAUUAACCAAUUAGACAAACUUUGAAGCCCUAGAAUCCGAAUCGCAAAUCAAAAAUUUCAUGGGCAACUUACAAAUUCACGAUUUACAGCGAUCGAAACACUUACAUAUCUGAGAACGUAGAGGGCUCUCUGUUUCUCGAAGAGAUGAUCGAUAAAACUAUUCGAAGAAACAUAAGGAGACCAAAAAAAAAGGUUUCGUUUGAGAACUCGCGUCUCCUAAUGGUUAUAUAGAGUCGACUUCGAUCGAGCACAUUCUUGGGGAAAAAAAGGAAAGCACGAAGUGCUUUGAUAAACACGUGUUUCUCCUAACGGUUAUAUUUUAAUUUUGAGUCGGUGGAUUUUGUAAUCGAACCGGUCCUGGAUUCUUACAAUACCAACAUAAACCGAACCGGUUCUUUUUCCACUCUGGCUAAAUAUUAACCG
rnacentral:lncRNA from 1 species